AGCUCUAGUGGCGUAUAUUAAUGUUGUUGCAGUUAAAAAGCUCGUAGUUGAAUUUGUGGUAGGAUUUAAAGCGACUUCGACUACGCUAUGUAGCGAUUGUUUGCUUUUUCCCGCCUUUUUCGUAUUGCUGGUCAUCAAAUAUUCAUUUAUUUGUUGGUCAUAUAGUGAUGCGUCAUUUACCAUAGCCAAAUCAGAAUGUUUCAAGUAGGCUUUAUUGCUUGAAUGCUUUCUAUGGAAUAAUAAGAUACAGCCUUUUUUAGUAUUUUGUUGGUUUUGGUGAAAAGGGUAAUUGAUUAAUAGGAUCAGUUUUGGGGUCGUCUGGAUUUACGAGUCAGAGGUGAAAUUCUUGGAUUUCGUAAAGACAAACUAGUGCGAAAGCAUUCGACACGGAUGUUUUCAU
rnacentral:rRNA from 1 species